UACGUAGGGCGCAAGCGUGUCCGGAAUUAUUGGGCGUAAAGAGCUCGUAGGCGGCCUGUUACGUCUGCUGUGAAAUCCCGGGGCUUAACCCCGGGCGUGCAGUGGAUACGGGCAGGCUGGAGGCAGGCAGGGGAGAACGGAAUUCCCGGUGUAGCGGUGAAAUGCGCAGAUAUCGGGAGGAACACCGGUGGCGAAGGCGGUUCUCUGGGCCUGUACUGACGCUGAGGAGCGAAAGCGUGGGGAGCGAACAGG
rnacentral:rRNA from 1 species